rnacentral:rRNA from 1 species
UACGUAGGGUGCAAGCGUUGUCCGGAAUCAUUGGGCGUAAAGCGCGCGUAGGCGGCUCUGUAAGUCCGUUGUGAAAGUCAAAGGCUCAACCUUUGAAAGCCGAUGGAUACUGCAGGGCUAGAGUCCGGAAGAGGCGAGUGGAAUUCCUGGUGUAGCGGUGGAAUGCGCAGAUAUCAGGAGGAACACCAAUUGCGAAGGCAGCUCGCUGGGACGUUACUGACGCUGAGGCGCGAAAGCGUGGGGAGCAAACAGG